CAAACAUUUCUGAAGCUAAGCUGCUACCACACCAUCACACGUCUGACUUCCGCCAACAAAUGUGUGUUCCUACUUCCGGAAACAAACCUGAAUAUACGGAGGAUGAACUACUGGUUAUCGAAGCGAGCAGGAAAGAAGGGUGAAACGUUGAAGCAGACGGAAACCGAGAGAGUGAAGUCAGCAUAAUUAGACGCUGUAAAUGUGAAACUUGGAGCCAAGCUAUGCCAACAGAAAUGGCAUGCAUUACCAAAAUCAAGUGGAAAACGUCCCCGGCCAGCUUCACCGAACAAACAAUUGUCCAUCAAUUUCACCCGCAGCAGAGCCGACAGGAUGGUGUUGAAAGCACUGUAGAAGUCAAAGAACAUGACUCUCACCACACUUCCUGCAGUCUCCAGUUCGUCCUGUUAAUUCCCUGCCUGCAGAAGUCUGCAAAGUCCCCCCGCAGGGGGCUGCACAAGCCAUGGUCAGCCUAAAGUGAGGCCAGUGCACUCUUUCACAUCAAUAUUCAAGUCAAGGCUAUGUAUUCUUUAUUACCUUGUCCAUGUUCACGAACAAGCAGGGUGGGCUGAGCGCUAAGU